rnacentral:rRNA from 1 species
AUGGGAGCGAAGCUUUCCUGCUUUUCCAACCACGGAGGCAGCCUCUCGCAGCAGCCACACCAGCCGGCGCCUGUCAGGGUCGUUGCCGCGGACGGCUCGCUGAAGGAGCUCCCGGCCAGCCCACGCGUCACCGUCUCCGACGUCCUCGGCGGGAGCGCCGCGUCCUUCUUCGUGUGCAACUCCGACGCGCUCUACUUCGAGCAGAGCCCUCCGGCGCUGGCAUCCGGGGAGGUACUCCGGCCGGGGCAGAUAUACUUCGUGCUCCCGGCGGCGUUGCUCGGGCGGCCGCUGUCCAGCGCCGAGAUGGCCUCGCUUGCGGUGCGCGCGAGCUCGGCGAUCGCGGCCAAGAAGCCGCAGCAGAGGCGCGGGCGCCGCAGCGGCGGGAGGAAGAAGGUGCGCGUCAUGCCGGUGCGCGAGGAGGUGGAAGACGGCGAAGACGUUCUGCUGAACGAGAAGCUUAACGAGCGGACGCUCGGGGAGUUUGCGGUGUCGCCGAAGAGCCAAGAGAAGAUGGCCGCCGUGGCGGCGCGGUCGCGGCUGAAGAUGAAGCUGAAGCGCGCUCUGAGUAUCAUUCAAGAGGUUGCUGAGUGA